rnacentral:rRNA from 1 species
AAUGAACGCUGGCGGCAGGCCUAACACAUGCAAGUCGAACGGGCACUUUCGGGUGCUAGUGGCGGACGGGUGAGUAACGCGUGGGAAUAUGCCCUUUGGUUCGGAAUAGCCUCGGGAAACUGAGAGUAAUACCGGAUAAGCCCUUCGGGGGAAAGAUUUAUCGCCAAAGGAUUAGCCCGCGUUGGAUUAGGUAGUUGGUGGGGUAAUGGCCUACCAAGCCGACGAUCCAUAGCUGGUUUGAGAGGAUGAUCAGCCACACUGGGACUGAGACACGGCCCAGACUCCUACGGGAGGCAGCAGUGGGGAAUCUUAGACAAUGGGGGAAACCCUGAUCUAGCCAUGCCGCGUGAUCGAUGAAGGCCUUAGGGUUGUAAAGAUCUUUCAGUUGGGAAGAUAAUGACGGUACCAACAGAAGAAGCCCCGGCUAACUCCG